UACGAAGGAGGCUAGCGUUGCUCGGAAUUACUGGGCGUAAAGGGCGCGUAGGCGGUUCUAUAAGUCAGGCGUGAAAUUCCUGGGCUUAACCUGGGGGCUGCGCUUGAGACUGUGGGACUUGAGGUCAGAAGAGGGUCGUGGAAUUCCCAGUGUAGAGGUGAAAUUCGUAGAUAUUGGGAAGAACACCGGUGGCGAAGGCGGCGACCUGGUCUGAUACUGACGCUGAGGCGCGACAGCGUGGGGAGCAAACAGG
rnacentral:rRNA from 1 species